rnacentral:rRNA from 1 species
UACGUAGGGGGCAAGCGUUGUCCGGAAUCAUUGGGCGUAAAGAGCGCGUAGGCGGCCCUGUAAGUCCGCUGUGAAAGUCAAGGGCUCAACCCUUGGAUGCCGGUGGAUACUGCAGGGCUAGAGUCCGGAAGAGGCGAGUGGAAUUCCUGGUGUAGCGGUGAAAUGCGCAGAUAUCAGGAGGAACACCGGUGGCGAAGGCGGGUCUCUGGGCCGAAAUUGACGCUGAGGAGCGAAAGCGUGGGGAGCAAACAGG